CAGCGGCAGACGGGUGAGUAACACGUAGGUAACCUACCCCAGAGACAGGGAUAACCCUAGGAAACGAGGGCUAAUACCGGAUGACCUCCGGAAGGAGGAAAGGCUCAGGCGCUCUGGGAGGGGCUUGCGGCCCAUCAGCUAGUUGGUAGGGUAAAGGCCUACCAAGGCGAAGACGGGUAGGGGGUGUGAGAGCACGGNCCCCCACAAUGGGACUGAAACACGGCCCAUACUCCUACGGGAGGCAGCAGCAGGGAAUAUUGCACAAUAGGCGAAAGCCUGAUGCAGCGACGCCGCGUGAGUGAAGAAGGCCUUCGGGUCGUAAAGCUCUUUUGUAGGGGAAGAGGAAGGACGGUACCCUAAGAAGAAGCGUCGGCUAACUACGUGCCAGCAGCCGCGGUAAGACGUAGGACGCGAGCGUUAUCCGGAAUUACUGGGCGUAAAGGGCCAGCAGGCGGCUUGGUAAGUUGUGCGUGAAAGCCUCGUGCUCAAGGCGAGGAAGCCGGACAAUACUGUCAAGCUAGAGGGCAUCAGAGGGGAGUGGAAUUCCCGGAGUAGCGGUAAAAUGCGCAGAUAUCGGGAGGAACACCGGCGGCGAAGGCGGCUCUCUGGAAUGUUACUGACGCUGAGGCACGAAAGCUGGGGGAGCGAACAGGAUUAGAUACCCUGGUAGUCCCAGCCGUAAACGGUGCGCACUUGGUGUAGGGGCCUUGACCGUCCCUGUGCCGUAGCUAACGCGUUAAGUGCGCCGCCUGGGGAGUACGGCCGCAAGGCUAAAACUCAAAGAAAUUGACGGGGACCCGCACAAGCGGAGGAGCAUGUGGCUUAAUUCGAUGCAACGCGAAGAACCUUACCAGGGCUUGACAUGCAGCUGCACGCCCCGUGAAAGCGGGGAAGCUUUCGAAGGUGCUGCACAGGUGGUGCAUGGCUGUCGUCAGUUCGUGCCGUGAGGUGUUGGGUUAAGUCCCGCAACGAACGCAACCCCUAUGUUUAGUUGCCACCGCAAGUGAUGAGCUUGCGAGCACUCUAGACAGACUGCCCGUACAAGCGGGAGGAAGGUGGGGAUGACGUCAAGUCAGUAUGUCCCUUAUGUCCUGGGCUGCACACGUGCUACAAUGGUCGGUACAAUAGGAAGCAAAGCCGCGAGGCCGAGCAAAUCCCCAAAGCCGGCCCUAGUUCGGAUUGGAGUCUGCAAUUCGACUCCAUGAAGCUGGAUUCGCUAGUAACGGCGCAUCAGCCACGGCGCCGUGAAUACGUUCCCGGGUCUUGUACACACCGCCCGUCACAUCAUGAAAGCCGUCUGCACCCGAAGUCGCUGGACCAACCCGCAAGGGGGGAAGGCGCC
rnacentral:rRNA from 1 species